ensembl:lncRNA
CCGACACACACACACACGCAUACACACACACUCACACACACACACGCUCACACACCCACACGCACACACACCCACACACAAACACACACACUCACACACACACACGCUCACACACCGACACACACACACACACGCAUACACACACUCACACACACUCACACAUACAGUGCCCUCCACAAUUAUUGGCACCCCCAGUGAAUAUGAGCAAAACAGGCUAUGAAAAAAUAUGUCUUUGCUGUUUAUCCUCUUGGUCUUUCACUCAAAAUAUUCACAAAAAUCUUACCAUUUCAUUGAAGUAAAAUUAUUGAAAUAAAAAAAAACUGUUGACAUUAAAUUAAUAUUUUUCCCCAAAACAUGUGUGCCACAAUUAUUGGUUAAGACAGCAGAUAGGCAUAUUAUGGUGAGAGGUAAAGGGUGUGUGUGUGUGUGUGUGUGUGUGUGUGUGUGUGUGUGUGUGUGUGUGUGUGUGUGUGUGUGUGUGUGAAGAGGUGGUCAGGGGUAAAGGGUGUGUGUGUGUGUGUGUGUGUGUGUGUGUGUGUGAAAAGGUGGUCAGAGGUAAAGGGUGUGUGUGUGUGUGUGUGUGUGUGUGUGUGAAGAGAAGAGGUGGUGAGAGGUAAAGGGUGUGUGUGUGUGUGUGUGUGUGUGUGUGUGUGGGAAGAGGUGGUCAGGGGUAAAGGGUGUGUGUGUGUGUGUGUGUGUGUGUGUGUGAAGAGAAGAGGUGGUGAGAGGUAAAGGGUGUGUGUGUGUGUGGGUGUGUGUGUGUGUGUGUGAAGAGAAGAGGUGGUCAGAGGUAAAGGGUGUGUGUGUGUGUGAAGAGGUGGUCAGAGGUAAAGGGUGUGUAUGUGUGUGUGUGUGUGUGUGUGUGUGUGUGUGUGUGUGUGAAGAGGUGGUCAGAGGUAAAGGGGUGUGUGUGUGUGUGUGUGUGUGUGUGUGUGUGUGAAAAGGUGGUCAGAGGUAAAGGGUGUGUGUGUGUGUGUGUGUGUGUGAAGAGGUGGUCAGAGGUAAAGGGUGUGUGUGUGUGUGUGUGUGUGUGUGUGUGUGUGUGAAGAGGUGGUCAGAGGUAAAGGGUGUGUGUGUGUGUGUGUGUGUGUGUGUGUGUGUGUGUGAAGAGGUGGUAAGAGGUAAAGGGUGUGUGUGUGUGUGUGUGUGUGUGUGUGUGUGUGUGUGUGUGAAGAGGUGGUCAGAGGUAAAGGGUGUGUGUGUGUGUGUGUGUGUGUGUGUGUGUGUGAAGAGGUGGUCAGAGGUAAAGGGUGUGUGUGUGUGUGUGUGUGUGUGUGUGUGUGUGUGUGUGUGUGUGUGUGUGUGUGAAGAGGUGGUCAGAGGUAAAGGGUGUGUGUGUGUGUGUGUGUGUGUGUGUGUGUGUGUGUGUGUGUGUGUGUGUGUGUGUGUGUGUGUGUGUGUGUGAAGAGGUGGUCAGAGGUAAAGGGUGUGUGUGUGUGUGUGUGUGUGUGUGUGUGUGUGUGUGUGUGUGUGUGUGUGUGUGUGUGUGUGUGUGUGUGUGUGUGUG